rnacentral:rRNA from 1 species
UACGUAGGGUGCGAGCGUUAAUCGGAAUUACUGGGCGUCAAGCGUGCGCAGGCGGCGCGUUAAGCCAGGUGUGAAAGCCCCGAGCUUAACUUGGGAAUUGCGCUUGUGACUGGCGAGCUGGAGUGUGGCAGAGGGAGGUGGAAUUCCACGUGUAGCAGUGAAAUGCGUAGAGAUGUGGAGGAACACCGAUGGCGAAGGCAGCCUCCUGGGCCAGCACUGACGCUCAUGCACGAAAGCGUGGGGAGCAAACAGG